rnacentral:rRNA from 1 species
AAUGAACGUUGGCGGCGUGGAUUAGGCAUGCAAGUCGAGCGAGAAAUUCCAGCUUGCUGGAAUGGACAGCGGCGAAAGGGAGAGUAAUGCGUAGAAAUCUGCCCUCGGGUCUGGGAUAGCGUUGGGAAACCGGCGGUAAUACCGGAUAAUGUCUUUGGACCAAAGAAUUUCGCCCGAGGAUGAGUCUACGUCCUAUUAGCUAGUUGGUGGGGUAACGGCCUACCAAGGCAACGAUGGGUAGCGGGUGUGAGAGCAUGAUCCGCCUCACUGGGACUGAGACACUGCCCAGACAUCUACGGAUGGCUGCAGUCGAGAAUCUUUGUCAAUGGACGAAAGUCUGAACAAGCGACGCCGCGUGCGGGAUGAAGGCCUUCGGGUUGUAAACCGCUGUCAGAGGGGAGGAAAUUUUGACUGAACCUCAGAGGAAGGACGGGCUAAGUUCG